rnacentral:rRNA from 1 species
UACAGAGGGUGCAAGCGUUGUUCGGAAUUAUUGGGCGUAAAGGGCGUGUAGGCGGUUUGCUAAGUCAUGUGUGAAAUCCCCCGGCUUAACCGAGGAACGACGCAUGAUACUGGCAAGCUAGAGUACCAAAGAGGGGGGGUGGAAUUCCCGGUGUAGCGGUGAAAAUGCGUAGAUAUCGGAAGGAACAUCAGUGGCGAAAGCGGCUUCCUGGUCCAGCACCGACGUUCAGGCACGAAAGCGUGGGGAGCAAACAG